rnacentral:rRNA from 1 species
AACGAACGCUGGCGGCAGGCUUAACACAUGCAAGUCGAACGCCCCGCAAGGGGAGUGACAGACGGGUGAGUAACGCGUGGGAACAUACCCUUUCCUGCGGAAUAGCUCCGGGAAACUGGAAUUAAUACCGCAUACGCCCUACGGGGGAAAGAUUUAUCGGGGAAGGAUUGGCCCGCGUUAGAUUAGCUAGUUGGUGGGGUAAAGGCCUACCAAGGCGACGAUCCAUAGCUGGUCUGAGAGGAUGAUCAGCCACAUUGGGACUGAGACACGGCCCAAACUCCUACGGGAGGCAGCAGUGGGGAAUAUUGGACAAUGGGCGCAAGCCUGAUCCAGCCAUGCCGCGUGAGUGAUGAAGGCCUUAGGGUUGUAAAGCUCUUUCACCGAUGAAGAUAAUGACGGUAGUCGGAGAAGAAGCCCCGGCUAACUACGUGCCAGCCGCCGCCGUAAGAC